UUAUGAUCUAAAAAUUUGAGUGCAUGCUUGUUAAAGUCCAAAUGUAGAUAUUAUUUGCAGCAGCCAAUUUGGAUUAAUUAAAUCCAUAUCACCGUAGAAAACAACGUGAGAUAUAAGUUCUCUACAUGAUCUGAUUGAAUAAUCGCUUAUAUUGGGUCCCUUUUGUCUCUAAAUUGAGAUGUAACUAUCAAUAGAUUAGGCAAUGGAGAUACUCUCAAAGGGAUACCUUCUUAGAAGUUUAAUGCUUUCUCCUAAAACAUAUCAAAAAUGUAGUUAAAUGGGAUUACAGAUAAAAUAUAGGAGUGCUUAUUUUGCUGAUUUAUUAAAUUAAUAUCCAUCAAACUGUUAUUUAUUUCCGUAUGUCUCCUAAGUUCAAACUUCUCACUAUUGUCAUGUGAAGUAUGUCUUUGAAAUAAACGCAAGAAUUUUAAUAAUCAGUUAUAUAUAAUUGGUUUAUUCCAACUGGUUAUAUAUUGAAUUCUUUUAUACAAAAUUU
rnacentral:lncRNA from 1 species